AGUGAACGCUGGCGGUAGGCCUAACACAUGCAAGUCGAACGGCAGCACAGUAAGAGCUUGCUCUUACGGGUGGCGAGUGGCGGACGGGUGAGGAAUACAUCGGAAUCUACUUUUUCGUGGGGGAUAACGUAGGGAAACUUACGCUAAUACCGCAUACGACCUACGGGUGAAAGCAGGGGAUCUUCGGACCUUGCGCGAUUGAAUGAGCCGAUGUCGGAUUAGCUAGUUGGCGGGGUAAAGGCCCACCAAGGCGACGAUCCGUCGCUGGUCUGAGAGGAUGAUCAGCCACACUGGAACUGAGACACGGUCCAGACUCCUACGGGAGGCAGCAGUGGGGAAUAUUGGACAAUGGGCGCAAGCCUGAUCCAGCCAUACCGCGUGGGUGAAGAAGGCCUUCGGGUUGUAAAGCCCUUUUGUUGGGAAAGAAAAGCAGCAGGUUAAUACCCCGCUGUUCUGACGGUACCCAAAGGAUAAGCACCGGCUAACUUCGUG
rnacentral:rRNA from 1 species